rnacentral:rRNA from 1 species
GAUGAACGCUGACAGAAUGCUUAACACAUGCAAGUCAACUUGAAUUUGGGUUUUUUCACUUAGAUUUGGGUGGCGGACGGGUGAGUAACGCGUAAAGAACUUGCCUCACAGCUAGGGACAACAUUUGGGAACGAAUGCUAAUACCUGAUAUUAUGAUUAUAAGGCAUCUUAGAAUUAUGAAAGCUAUAUGCGCUGUGAGAGAGCUUUGCGUCCCAUUAGCUAGUUGGAGAGGUAACGGCUCACCAAGGCGAUGAUGGGUAGCCGGCCUGAGAGGGUGAACGGCCACAAGGGGACUGAGACACGGCCCUUACUCCUACGGGAGGCAGCAGUGGGGAAUAUUGGACAAUGGACCAAGAGUCUGAUCCAGCAAUUCUGUGUGCACGAUGACGUUUUUCGGAAUGUAAAGUGCUUUCAGUUGGGAAGAAAAAAAUGACGGUACCAACAGAAGAAGUGACGGCUAAAUACGUG